ACCCUUUAAUGUUUGAUGUUCUAACGUGGACCCGUGAUCCGGGUUGCGGACAGUGUCUGGUGGGUAGUUUGACUGGGGCGGUCUCCUCCUAAAGAGUAACGGAGGAGCACGAAGGUUGGCUAAUCCUGGUCGGACAUCAGGAGGUUAGUGCAAUGGCAUAAGCCAGCUUGACUGCGAGCGUGACGGCGCGAGCAGGUGCGAAAGCAGGUCAUAGUGAUCCGGUGGUUCUGAAUGGAAGGGCCAUCGCUCAACGGAUAAAAGGUACUCCGGGGAUAACAGGCUGAUACCGCCCAAGAGUUCAUAUCGACGGCGGUGUUUGGCACCUCGAUGUCGGCUCAUCACAUCCUGGGGCUGAAGUAGGUCCCAAGGGUAUGGCUGUUCGCCAUUUAAAGUGGUACGCGAGCUGGGUUUAGAACGUCGUGAGACAGUUCGGUCCCUAUCUGCCGUGGGCGCUGGAGAACUGAGGGGGGCUGCUCCUAGUACGAGAGGACCGGAGUGGACGCAUCACUGGUGUUCGGGUUGUCAUGCCAAUGGCACUGCCCGGUAGCUAAAUGCGGAAGAGAUAAGUGCUGAAAGCAUCUAAGCACGAAACUUGCCCCGAGAUGAGUUCUCCCUGAGACUUUAGGUCUCCUGAAGGAACGUUGAAGACGACGACGUUGAUAGGCCGGGUGUGUAAGCGCAGCGAUGCGUUGAGCUAACCGGUACUAAUGAACCGUGAGGCUUAACCUUAC
rnacentral:rRNA from 1 species